rnacentral:rRNA from 1 species
GACGAAGGAUGCAAGCGUUAUCCGGAUUCAUUGGGUCUAAAGGGUGCGCAGGCGGAUAUGUAAGUCAGUGGUGAAAUCUCCGGGCUUAACCCGGAAACUGCCGUUGAUACUAUAUAUCUUGAAUGCCGUGGAGGUAAGCGGAAUAUGUCAUGUAGCGGUGAAAUGCUUAGAUAUGACAUAGAACACCUAUUGCGAAGGCAGCUUACUACACGGAGAUUGACGCUCAUGCACGAAAGCGUGGGGAUCAAACAGG